UACGUAGGGUGCAAGCGUUAAUCGGAAUUACUGGGCGUAAAGCGUGCGCAGGCGGCUUUGCAAGACAGAUGUGAAAUCCCCGGGCCCAACCUGGGAACUGCAUUUGUGACUGCAUGGCUAGAGUACGGUAGAGGGGGAUGGAAUUCCGCGUGUAGCAGUGAAAUGCGUAGAUAUGCGGAGGAACACCGAUGGCGAAGGCAAUCCCCUGGACCUGUACUGACGCUCAUGCACGAAAGCGUGGGGAGCAAACAGG
rnacentral:rRNA from 1 species